UGGGGAAUAUUGGGCAAUGGGCGAAAGCCUGACCCAGCAACGCCGCGUGAAGGAAGAAGGUUUUCGGAUUGUAAACUUCUGUCCUCAGGGAAGAAGGAAGUGACGGUACCUGAGGAGGAAGCCCCGGCUAACUACGUGCCAGCAGCCGCGGUAAUACGUAGGGGGCGAGCGUUGUCCGGAAUGACUGGGCGUAAAGGGCGCGUAGACGGCUUUUUAAGUCUGGAGUGAAAGUCCUGCUUUCAAGGUGGGAAUUGCUUUGGAGACUGGAAGGCUUGAGUGCGGAAGAGGUAAGUGGAAUUCCCAGUGUAGCAGUGAAAUGCGUAGAGAUGUGGAGGAACACCAAUGGCGAAGGCAGCCCCCUGGGUCGAUACUGACGCUCAUGCACGAAAGCGUGGGGAGCAAACAGG
rnacentral:rRNA from 1 species